ensembl:misc_RNA 7SK 7SK RNA
GGAUGUGAGGGCAAUCUGGCUGCGACAUUUGUCACCCCAUUGAUUGCCAGAGUUGAUUCGGAUGAUCUGACUGGCUAGGUGGGUGUCCCUUUCCUCCCUCACCACUUCAUGUUUGUCCCUCCGCUCCAUGUUUAUCCCUCCAGAAGCUGCGUGCUCCCUUGAAGAGGACAAACAUAGAGACAGACCAGUCUUCAGUCAAGGGUAUAGGAGUAGCUGCACUCCUAUACCCUUGUUGGAGGUUCUAGCAGGAGCUAGAACUUCCAAACAAGCUCUCAAGACCAGAGCAUUACUAGCCCCCCCUCCUUUCUUU